ACAUUACGGGUUAUAGGAGUAUCCGGGGUUGCCGUCGGGAUGUCUCGAUCGGCAGAAAAAAUCGUCACAGCUCGCACGGACUUUUUUUUACACUCCGCGCACUCCGAUGACGUGGGUUCUUCCUCGUCAGACGCGGGAGUCUCGGUCUUUUCCGAGAAAGAUGAAAUUGUCGAUCGCACGCACGAUUCAAUUAACGCGAGCGAGAGUGUGCCGUUGUCCUCCCUCCGAUCGAACCGAUCGAUACGAAGACGAGGUUGCGCGAUGUUGUGGCAAAUAGUACGUUCCAAAAUUCCACAAGUCACGGAUCUAUUAAUAGAUCAGCGAUUACGUAAUCGUACGACAGCGUUUUGAUUUUGCGUGAUACGCAAAAUUCGACAAACACAGAGACGAGGAGAGAGAAACUUUCUUCACACAAAGUACCGAGAUAGAUUUAACACUUUUCUCACAUAGAUGCAAUUGUCCUCGCGAAGAAAACGGCGACGUUCCUUCCGUUGCGCGAUUCUUUCAGAUGAUCCGCUUAAACUCUUCACCCUCCUCGGGACUUCUAAGUACAGAGAACACGAUGCGAUAGUUUGUGUCUAGCAUUUUACACAUAGUGCCGGUAUACGUUACCGCUCGUGGUACGUAGUGGUGCCUUCUGGUCGCCCGCAAAUUAGGAAACGGAAAAGAAAAAGCCACUCUCCUGCGAGAAGUCACUUUGCGCGCGGGUGUUUCCUUGGCGCGGCGCUCAUCCGUAGGGUUGUCGUCACCGCUACGGGGUGCUGUGCCUCGCCAAAGGAUCGUUCUGCACUUGAGAAUUCGAUCUGGUUUUUCAGGACAAGCUGCGUCUAAAUCCAAGACAAUUUGCGAAAACGUGCUCGCGCUAAAAUGGCGGCGCGGCGCCGUCGUUUCGGAGUUUAGCUCAGAAAUCACUAAUUCCGACCGGGCUGGCUGCCUGGCGAUUCUUCCUAAACACUGACAAGUCGCUCGCUGAUCGAUCGAGCGACGAGGUAGCCUCUUCGAGAAAAGAUCUUCACUAUGAAACACCGAUCACACUCACAAUCAGCCGAACAACGCGACGAGGAGCCGGGAUUUGCCUGCUCCGGGUUGCGACCAGCCUCUGAACGCCAGCGAAUCGAAUAAAUCGCACUGAGAGACCAACCGAGAGGAAGACUUGCGCCCUGAGCCGUAGCAAGCUCGAUUGCAGGGCCGUGACUAAAUAGGGCGUCUUUUGCCGAGGGGUAGAGUUUCGAUUCGAGCGGAGUUCAACGCUCCGACAGCGGCUAAAUAUUAACUGCACGGCGCAGUCGAGAGCAGAACAUAUUAUUUUCGCGCGCAUGUCGAGAAAUGUGGUCUAUCGCACAGUUUACAAAGCAAGAAUACCAGAUAAGUUUUAUCUAAGUCUCGCGAUUAGUUUCCGUAAAAGUGAUCACACGUCAAUCAAAUUACGAGCGUUGAUAUUAUCAGCAUUGCUUGUGGAAUAUUUAUAUCGUUGAUUACGCAAUAUUUUUUAUAAGCGCCCAACUACAGCGGUUAUCGUUCGACAAACAUCGAUUUCAGUUCAAGCCGCACCUGAGAGGUUCCCCUACUAUAAACUGCUCCAACUUAUGACGAUGACGAGCGUCGGCAUCGCUGUCGACAUCGACCAUGACUCAUUUUUCCGCAAGUGCCAACGCGACCGAGUUUCCUCGUCACAUUUUUGUUAAUUACGAGACUGAUCUAGCAUCCGCUUUCUUUUCCAUCAUAAUGCAGCUCUUGAUUAUAAAGAACAUUCAAAGACUUUCCAUCGUGCAGAAUCGCAGAAUUGCUUUCGUCUGCAAGUGGAUGAUUUUUUUCAAGUAGAUAGAUAAAUAUAGUUGCUUGUGAGCAUUUGUAUUUGCAGAAACUUACACGCUACAAAGCCGGUAUGAUAAAAUCGUAUUUCACCGUUUAUCUGUACGCAGGAUAGCUUUUGCUAUUACUCUCUCGUGGUAAUUACAAUCGCGAUAUUUAAAAUCUUCGAUAAACUCGCGAUUAAUUGAUAAUUAAAUUUAUAAGAAGAACGAGCGGUCUUUAUCACAGAGCAACAACUUGCUGACAAAGCAAGAGCGAAAGGGGAAAAAUAUUUUUAAAAUUUCUGAGAACGGAUGAACUUCUGGAUAAAGAUUAGCGCGCCGCGCUUUAAUUGAACUGUUAAACGGAAUUUAAAGAUUGUGAACAACGGAAUGUUGAGCGAGACAUCGUAAUUGAGCAAUAUUACUUUUGUCUACGCGGUCGUGAGUUUAAAGAGUGCAGAGGUCGAGGACGACGCCGCUCGUUGAAAAUUCGUCAUUCAACAAUUUGAUAGAUUCAAAUAUAAGCGACUAUUAUUUUAAAGCUUGUAAAUGUGUUGACAUUAAUUUUAUUUUUAUAGGUGUUUAAUAUUAUAGUAUUAAAUAUUUAAUUGAAAAGAAUAUCUCUUGCAGAUUAUAUGUAACAUAUUUAAAAACUUUAUGAGAAAUACAAUGUGGGAAUAAUACAAUUGUCAAUAAAUUUUUCCAUUUGCUCAUUAAGAUAUAUUCUCUUCUUUGCUAUCGUGUUAUAAAUAACAUUAAAAUGUUAAGUAGAAAUUCCGAUUAGAUUACGUUAAGUUACGAAUAUUUCUGAUAAUUAGUAUAUAUACAUAUUUCAUAAUAAAUCUUACACAACUAGUUAAACCCGUUUUUAACUAAAGUGAUGUAAUAAUUUAGAAAAGUAUGCUUACAUAAUCUCUCAGAAAUUAAAAUUAAACCAAAAAAUAUAUCACACAAU